CUACGGGGGGCUCCAGUGGGGAAUUUUGGGCAAUGGGGGCAACCCUGAUCCAGCAACGCCGCGUGAAGGAUGAAGGUCUUCGGAUUGUAAACUUCUUUUGUAGGGGACGAAUCCCUCCGUGAAUAACGGAGAAUGACGGUACCCUAAGAAUAAGCCACGGCUAACUACGUGCCAGCAGCCGCGGUAAUACGUAGGUGGCGAGCGUUACUCGGAAUUACUAGGCGUAAAGCGCAGGUAGGUGGUUGGAUAAGUCCGCAAUGAAAGCUCCCGGCUUAACUGGGAGAGGCGUGUAGAUACUGUUCAACUAGAGUGUGGGAGAGGUAACUAGAAUUCCUGGUGUAGCGGUGAAAUGCGUAGAUAUCAGGAGGAAUACCAACGGCGAAAGCAGGUUACUGGCCCAAUACUGACACUGAGCUGCGAAAGCUAGGGGAGCAAACAGGAUUAGAUACCCCUGUAGUC
rnacentral:rRNA from 1 species